UACGUAGGGUGCAAGCGUUGUCCGGAAUUAUUGGGCGUAAAGAGCUCGUAGGCGGUUUGUCGCGUCUGCUGUGAAAACUCGGGGCUUAACCCCGGGCCUGCAGUGGGUACGGGCAGACUAGAGUGCGGUAGGGGAGACUGGAAUCCUGGUGUAGCGGUGAAAUGCGCAGAUAUCAGGAGGAACACCGGUGGCGAAGGCGGGUCUCUGGGCCGUAACUGACGCUGGAGGAGCGAAAGCGUGGGGAGCGAACAGG
rnacentral:rRNA from 1 species